GGGACCCCAGGUCAGGCGGGACUACCCGCUGAGUUUAAGCAU
rnacentral:rRNA from 24 species